GACCGGAUUCGCCUUGGACAAGACAUGUGAAGUUCGUUUGUCGGGUGUGCUUUUUUUUGCUUGUUUUGCGUGUAUUGUGAACAGUAGUGGCAUAUAAUUACAAGUACCUCCAAAAGUCAGUUUUCAUUUAACUCUCAGUUUGGAUGGGAAUAAGAGGUAUAUUAGGGGAAAAGAAAACGAGUUUUAAAAAUGACGAUAAUUAUGAGUGGCCAGGAUAGUUUUAGGGACACAAGUGCCCUGAAGAAGAAAAGACCCAAGAAUCUAAGUUUGGAAAACCACUUAGACUCCACUGAUCAAAACAACAAUAUUACAAUGACGUCGGAGGAUUUACUGCAGCCAGGGCAUGUAGUUAAGGAGAGAUGGAAGGUUGUCAAAAAAAUUGGAGGUGGUGGUUUUGGAGAGAUCUAUGAAGGCCAAGACUUGCUGACCAAAGAGCAAGUGGCUCUUAAGGUGGAAAGUGCGCGGCAACCUAAACAAGUUUUGAAGAUGGAGGUGGCUGUUCUGAAAAAGUUGCAGGGAAAAGAACACAUUUGCAGAUUUAUAGGCUGUGGAAGAAACGAUCGUUUCAACUAUGUGGUGAUGCAACUACAAGGCAGAAAUUUAGCAGAACUCCGUAGGGCCCAACCAAGGGCUGCUUUUAGUCUUUCCACCACUUUACGGCUGGGAUUGCAAAUACUCAAAGCUAUUGAAAGUAUACAUUCUGUUGGAUUUUUGCAUCGUGAUAUUAAACCUAGUAAUUUUUCAAUGGGUAGACUGCCAUAUAACUGUAGGAAAGUUUAUAUGUUAGAUUUCGGAUUAGCGCGCCAGUACACCACGGCAACGGGUGAAGUGCGAGCUCCAAGAGCUGCUGCUGGUUUUAGGGGUACCGUUCGAUACGCUAGUAUAAAUGCACAUAAAAAUAGAGAAAUGGGUCGACAUGACGACUUGUGGUCUCUGUUCUAUAUGCUGGUAGAGUUUGUUAAUGGUCAGUUACCGUGGAGAAAAGUAAAAGACAAAGAGCAAGUAGGAUUAAUGAAAGAGAAAUAUGACCACAGAUUAUUGUUAAAGCAUCUACCAUCUGACCUCAAGCAAUUCCUGGAUCAUAUCCAGACUUUGGAGUAUGCGGAUAAGCCUGAUUAUGCUAUGUUGAUCUCACUAUUUGAACGUUGCAUGAAACGGCGUGGAGUAAAAGAAUUAGAUCCGUUCGAUUGGGAGAAACAAACUGGGGAUACGCAACCGUCGAAUGUGGUAUCGCAGGUUCAACCUCCAACUACUGCACCAACAACAUUGCCCAGGCAAACAACUAAGUUACUCACUACAACGGACAACAAUCAGGAAAAUAUCGAACCCACAGAUAACAAAGAAAUUCAACUUGAAUCUAGAAGAAGAAUAGAAGUCGAAAAUACGGCUCCUCUUGUAACAGAUACUCAAACAAACCCUGGUCGACAAACUGUAGAUAAGAACUGUAAUGCAACAGCUGUUGAUCAAAUUGCUCGAAAACGUCGAGCGACUUCCCAUCUCGAUCAAGCUCCCACUGAUCGUCUGGACAACGAGGCGGCGGUCGCGUCCGCGAAAUCGACGUCGGAGGCGCCGCGUCCCGCACCCUUACGCAAAAGUCAGUCGGGCGCAGCGACGUUGGGCCGAUUGAGGGUGGCCACGCCCCCUCAAGGAAGUGGAGGGGGAAGUUUGGGCGAGUCACCGGCCACGCCCGAACAAGAACGACCGCGCAGGCGCCAAUCGAGCACCGUGCGAAGUUCGAGGGGUGCCAGGGAUCAGAGCGUGACCCAAUUCGCGGUUAUGGAUGAUGAGAAUGUUAGUCAGCAGGUGACGAGAGGUGGCGCCUUAACUUUAGCAAGCCAAUGGAAGUCGCAGUUCGAUGAUAGCGAGGAGACGACUGAUAACGAAUGGAAGCCGGAAUCACCCGAGCAUUAUCGUGGGGGCGGUUCACACGCAGGAUCCACCCACCAGUCUCAUCUACCAGUUCCCCCUAGCGAAACUGCUCCGGGUGGAAUUACACCACAGGCCCAAGCUGCCUUAAGUAAAAUAAGCGAAGAUUCAAGAACAAGCCAUAGGAAAUACGUAAACAUUGCAGGAAUAGAGGAUUAUCCAGAACUAGUCGCUGCCUUACCUAGAGCUUGGUCCUGUCCUGCUCUGGGCCCGUUAGUCCGUCGUGCCCUAAAACCGCCACUCCUCCAACAAGCCGCUUUCGACGAUCUAGUUUUCCGUGUGGACGUAAUGCGUAACGUUGCUUCGAAACACCAACUUCAACCCUCCGAACGUAUUCAAGGAGCGGACGGCAACGAUUGGACCAGCUUACCGGCAUUACAAAUUGCAGAGGAACAAGGCUUUAGGGAGGAAGAAAACGGCGAAGAGAAUGGGGAAGAAGGUCUGCAGGAGGUCGCAGGAAAAUUAGAAAUUCGAGUAGUGUCAAAACCUCCCUCUGAAGUUACAUCUAACACUUACGUCGCAAUGACCAAUCAGCCUCUUACCUCGGUUAGGCCGCAAUCCCUUCCACCAGUUGCAUCGAAGGCCACCACUGCGUUACUGAAUGGUUCGGGUCCCACAAUGGAGAGAGUAAACUCUACGGAUCGGUCCGAUAGAAAACCGGUAGAACGAACAAAAAGCAUUUUGAAGCAGAGUAGUAAAGAAGGAAGUAAUGCGGGUGAGGUAGGAAGUCCUAGGAAGGAAGUCGUGAUAUUUGCGGAUGGGUUGCUGGAUAAAAAGGAUAAAGAUAAGGCUUGCCAGUCCCCCAGAACCAAAGUCAAAUCACCACCGCCAGUAUCAAACCAAACAGACGUGGGCAUCGAUAGGAGAGAUUACGAGACAGAGCAGGAGGUCCAAUGUGAUAUUAACAACGCGCCUUCAUUACAUAAAUUGAACGACGUUAGGAGAAGUCCAAGGCGGGUAUCCACAGGAGGCACAUCCGACAAACAGGUGGCCACGGAAGUAAAGAAAGUAGAAACCGAAAGUAGUAGUACCGAAACUGAUAGUAAAGACAAGCCUGGAAAAGAAUCAAGGAGGAAGUCAUCUCAUGGUUCAACCCUAAAUUUUGAGCCUGUGGAUUCUUUAAUCCGAAGCCAAUCGUUAAAAUCUGUUCCUAGCAAUAAACCCCUUUCCAGCCUUCUGAAUAAUCGAGGCACUGAUUCAAGAUCGGAGAGCAGUUCGGGCGCCUCUGGAACAAACAAAAUCAAGUCGGAUACAAGCGGAGUUCCAAAAGAUAGCACAGACCUUGAAGAGCGACAACGGGUAAUCGAAAGAGACAAAACGGCCAGGAGGUUGGGUGAAGAGGGUCCGAUCCGGUGCUCGGGCGGAGUAGAUCUAAGCACGAAUCCAAAUGUGACUUACGUGACUGCCACAAGCAUUCCAGAGUUAAGAGAGAAACGUUCCAUAGCCAACGGUCUAAGUCCAGGCCUGGAAGAACAAUCUGAAUACUUCGACGCGACUGAAAACCCAACACUGAAGGACAAAAGACACGAGCUCGAUGACGAGGACAGUGGCGUAGAUAAUGCCAGUCAAAUUUUAAGGGAAUCAUCGACAAGCCCCGCAAUGGAAGGCCGUAUAUCCAAAAUUCCAGUGUCAGUCACUGGCGGACAGCGACUAGCCAAAUGCAUGUCGUGGUCAGGGGAUUUGACGCCGGGGCUACGUAGGCGCAGACAGGGAGAAAAGUAUGUUACCGAUCCUAGUCAGUUGAAGUUAAGAUUUAAAAGGCAUUCGAGCAGCGGUCUGAGAGCAAGGGGCAUAUCAAACUGUCUAAUAGACGCGCCCGAGAGUAGUCCCGAGUCCUCCGAAGGCCCGCCACCUCCUCCACCCGGUGGAGAUCCGCCAUCCGAAUCUCAGGUGAGGUGUCGAAGGUUCCGACCCGUUACGUAGGAGAGCGUCGACAUCCCGCAUUAAAUGUGAUUUUGUUCUGUUCACGUGCCUAACAGUUUUCGUCAAGUGUUCAGUGGAAAGUAUUACCCAUGGAGGUAUGCUUUGACCAAUAGCAACUCAAACUUGGAAGCGUGUUGUAAGCCAUUACAAUCAUAACACCAGUCAACAUCAUAAUUUCAGAAGGAUCAGUUUGCUUAACUUUUUUUUUAGUUUUUUUUUCCAAAAUUGUUAAUCUUUCAUUAGUACACUGAGAUAUAAAUAUAUAUAAGCUUUUUGGAAAUAACUUUAUCAAUCUCCGUAGACUGACUAUUUAUAGAGCUCAAGAGAAUUUCGGUAUUCCUUGCAAUAGGAAGUUGUAUCCUUGGGGUAUAGUUCUGCGGUACUGAAUUCCAGAUUAUGUUGUCUGAUGCAGAUGAAGUUGAAGGCCCUGUUUGAGGAUUUGCUGAUGCAUUUGGGAUGUCGGACAUAACUGUAUCUGUUAUUGACAAGAUAAUGAAAACGAACCUUAUAUUAAACUACUAAAAUACUCAGAACUUACUUAUCACUGAAUGAAACUACUUUUGUAGAUAAAACACUUUGUAAAGAAACUUUACCACAUGCAGCAAAACUAGCAACUUAGCCAAUGUUGUCAAUUGUUUUGCGCAUUAAACAUAGAUGUCACUGUCUGUUUUAAAAUAAAGGAGAGGUUCCAUAUGAAAAACAGGUUCCAUAUUACCAGUUUCUCCUUUACGGUAUAUAAUUUUUUUCCAUAUGGAAAAUUCAAUUAUAUUUACAUGUUUAGUGUUCAACAGAUGCAUAACUUAAAAGUUCUUUUAAUGCAUAAAAUUUAGAAACACAUUAGAAAGGUAGCCAAGGAAAGGGAAAAAAGGGACUAUGACACAUAAAAGAAGAUUCUAUAAAAUAAAUAGAAGUUGAAAAAAAAACAGUAAACCUUAUAUACCGGAUGGUACAGGAUGAAGGAAACACUCAUAUGACAUAUUUGUUUCAUAAGCCAAAGAAACGAAAUUUGGUGUGUGUAAGUCAUUAGAAAAGUCUUUGGCAGAAUGAUAAAACACCAAAAAAAACUUGUAACUUGAAAUUAUAAUAAAUAAAAUGGUCCGUAUGGUCAAAGUAAAUAAGUAAACCUUAAUUAACACGUUUCCUUUUGAAGGUAUCAGGUUAUCAACAGACAUUGGCCUUGUUUCCCGCACAGCAUUUUUUAAUAUCAAAGUUUAUGUCGAAAACUAUCAAUUUUUUUGUUGCAAGAAAUUCAAACUAAUAUUUCGUGGGCAAUCCCGUUAAUUACAGUUCAAGCAAAGUCUGAACCGAAAACCUCCUUUUUUGCAAAACAAAGGUAGUGUUCUAAAAAAGUUUAAAUAGCUUUAAAAAGUGAUUUAUUUUAGUGAUCUAAUCAAACUGAGGUUACGGUAAUCUCACUACGUAACUUUUAAUUUUGGUAGCAAAAAUUAGCUCACACUUAUUCUCUUCUCGUUAAUAAGAAUAUAGUGAUACAAAUUGUUCAGGUAAAUUAUAAUAAUCUAGAAACAGUUUUGUCAAACGCAUGUAGAAACAGUUUUAAAAAUAGGAGAUGUUUUAGAUUUUUUAAGGUAAUAGAAUCGUUUUCAUCAAAAUUGAAAGUUACACGUAUUACUUUAGGAAGUAAUGUUAAUUUAGAAUGCCAUAAAAAUAUUGUAACGAUGGACAAUGUAAACAUCAAACGCAAAAUUGUUUGUUCAUCUUUGUAAAUAAAACUACGUGCCCAUCCUAAUAAACGAAUCUUAAAAAAUGUUCUAUUUAAUGCAUUUAUUUGCAGUUCAUUUUUGCGGCAGAAAUUUAUAAACUAGCUAGUUUUGUAUGGCUUUCACUUAAUAGGCAGAAAUCUGUAUGCUUUGUCCAUUAGGUAUCGGUCAGCUUAUUAAUAGUGAACUGUCAAAUAAAUGUUUAAAAUUGCCCUUCCUACGAUAUUUUAAAAUUUAGUUAAAAAAAUUAGUACUGCAACCUUUCAGAAUUUAAAUUAAAUUUACUUCAAUUUUCUUUUCUUAAAUCAAAUUUUAAGUAAUUUUUUGAUAUUUCUAGUUUUUUGAGAUUUUCUUAAAUUUAAGUAAAUUCAUAAGAAUCUAAAAACGGUUAAAUCCUUUAUGAUUAAAUCUUGGAAAAAGCAAUUAAAAAAUGUUUUUAAGAAGAAUAAAUUAUAGGAAUUUGAGUAUAUUUCCUGCCUGAAAAUAUACUCGCCGACACAAAAUUCCGCCACCCUGAAAUAUUGGCCAAGUUUGAUGUUUUAUAAAUUUUUUAUUUUUUAUCAGAUUCUCACGAUUUUGCCAUCAGUUUUUAGAUACAUUUGUUGUGAUUUUUUAAAAUCAUUUUUUAAAGUAGGAUUUUUUCGAUUAGGCUAUAUUAUACAGGAGCAAAACAAACUCUUAUUUUUUCUCGUAAUUUCAAAAAACUGGAAAAUUAAGGUGGAUAAUUCUGUUUACAUACUGUUCCUUGUAAUCUUUGAUGUAUUCUAAACAAUUCGAUUUUUGAUUCAUUCCAUUAUCUCAUUUCUGCUGCUAGCUGCAAAUUUUUUAUUAAAACGCUGAUUUGAAGCUUAUUUUUAGAUAAUUAAUGUCAAGUUUUCGGUUAAAAAUUAUCGACGUUGGCUAAGGACGCAAUUAAUGUGACAUAAAGUUUGACAGUGUCACUAUUAUAAUUUGUUGUGUGUCAAUAUGGUAUUAACUCCAGCAGACGUGGGUAGAAUUUUUGCGUUAAUAGAGGAUGGCUGUAGCAAAAGUUAUGUCGCCCGUACUCUGAGAUUUCCGCGGUCUACAGUUCGAGAUGCCUGGAAUAUUUACAGACGGGAAUUUUUACUAGACGACAAGGCUCUGGCAGAAGGAGAAUGACCACUUCAGCUGAUGAUCACUUUGUCACCAUUAGUUCUUUAAGAGAUCGAAGAUCUACUGCUGUGUAUCUAAAAAAUGACUUGCGAAUACUUCAUGGAGUAAGUGUAAGAACGAUACGUAGAAGAUUAGCAGAAGCUGGACUUUAUUCACGAAGGCCAGCAAGAUGUCCACAAUUACUUCCUCGGCAUCGACAACACCGACUGAGGUUUGCAAGAUCGCAUUUUGAGUGGAUUCUAGAACAGUGGGCAAACGUACUAUUAACAGAUGAAUCCAGGGUUUGUUUAAGGAUGUCGGAUGGUCGUAAGCGGGUAUACAGACGUAGAAAUGAAAGAUAUGCUGACUGCACCAUUUCAGAACAAAUCUCAUAUCGUGGCGGUUCAGUCGUGAUUUGGGCUUUGAUUGAACUUGUAUUUAUUGAAAAUGGAGCUCUAACCGCCCACCGUUACAUUAAGGAAAUCCUUCAAGAAGUUGUUGUCCCAUUUGCUCUAUUCCUUACUUAUCUAACCUUAUUCAUUCGAUGCCGCGAAGACUGAAAGCUGUUAUGGCUGCGAGAGGAGGAAGUACACGUUAUUAAAAUUGUUUUUUUUUUAAUUAACUUUAUGAUAUACCUAGUGUUUGUUUCUCCUAAUAAAAAUACGCUUCAAAUCAGCGUUUUAAUAAAAAAAAUUGCAGCUCGCAUCAGAAAUGAGAUAAUGGAAUAAAUCAAAAAUCGAAAUGUUUAGAAUACAUCAAAGAUUACAAGGAACAGUAUGUAAACAGAAUUAUCCACCUUAAUUUUCCUACAGGGUCUUUUGAAAUUACGAGAAAAAACAACAGUUUGUUUUACUUCUGUAUAAUAUAGCCUAAUCAAAAAAUGCUACUUUACAAAAUGAUUUUAAAAAAUCACAACAAAUGUAUCUAAAAACUAAUGGCAAAAUCGAGAGAAUCUGAUAAAAAAUACAAAAUUUAUAAAACAUCAAACUUGGCCAAUAUUUCAGGGUGGCGGAAUUUUGUGCCGGCGAGUGUGAAAUGUAUGGAACUCGUUUUUAGGUAGUUAUGUAAAAAAAAACAUUGUAAAGGACUUUCCCAAUAUUUCACAUUAACUUAUUUAACUUUGCGUUAUAGGAAAGUGCAAAAAUCAAUGUAUUUGUGUAUCAUAUUAAUCAAGGUUAUGUACACUUAAUAUUUUUUUGUGAUUGUUCAAAUUUCUGGCAGCAUCGCUUUAAAGCAAAUUACCGCAUUAUCUUUUAAAUUGAACAUCGAACAUGAUAAUCCUGAGAUUAUUAGAAAAAGAUAAAUACAAUUUUAUAUAAGUUUGGAUGUUGUCAGAUUUAAGAACCUUAUAAUGGAUUUUCUAAAGCGAAAUGUGAACUUUAUGAAAUAUUUUCUAGUCCCCCAAAUGCCAAGUAUUUUUUUAAAGUACUUGAUUUUCUAUUCUAGUCAAUGACGGAGGCGAUAGAUUUUAAAGAAUUAUAAAUAUUUAUGAAAAAAUAAAUACUUUGUAAAAACUAUGAUAUUACAUCUUAGGGAUAUAGGAGAAAAGUCAAAAUGUGGAGUCUAUGAGUGUUUGUUUAGUAAAGUUGGUAUCGCGUGAAGUGAAUGUAAGAUUUCGGAUUUUGACUUUCACACAAAAAAAAUUCAAAACUGAACAAGAAAUAUAUAGCUAUUAAAAAUUACACUUGAUUAAGUAAAAAUAAAGAAAAAAUAUUAGACUGCUAACGUUGUUUUUUUUUGAAUUGUACUAUAUUUGUUUUUUGUUUUGUUUUAGCGCUGUAUUUUUAAAUUAUUAUAGUUAAUAAAAAUAAAAAAGAGAAUUUGAAUGUAAAAA
rnacentral:misc_RNA from 1 species